GGAAGGCAGAGGGUUUUGCUUGGAUUUCUGGGCUGGCCACGUGGCCAUACACUCAGCACUCCAAGAUGCUGUUCCUGGAGCCAGACAGAGAGUGAGUUACGGCUGCAAACAGGAUCUGAAUGGCCACCCGCUCUGGAGAGGCCCCUCUGUGUAAACAGUAUGAGUUUCUGGGAAGCAUACAGAAGACCAGACUGUUGGGAAAGG
ensembl:misc_RNA